UCUUUAAAUAAAAAGAUACCUCCUUGGCAAAACCACUAAAUAAAAACUGUAAAUGAGUGUUUUCAAUUGCUUUCGAAAGAAGAGUUUCUCAAGAAUGAAUCUGAAAAUGUGAAAAAAAUUUCAAGUAAUGUACUUGUGUAAUUAUUGGGUAUUUGUACUAGCGUUAGGACAAUAAUAAUAAAGGACUGGGAAGGGCUUAAAUGAAAGUUGGAAGGUAAUGAAGGGCACUAAAGCGAAUAAAAAAUAAGAAAUUAGGCGAUAAUUACAUUUCAACUCCCCUGAGAAUGCCGGGAGCCACACGUGCCGGUCAGAGGGUGGGUAUAUUUCAAGCGUACAGCGUUCAACGUGGAGAAAUUUCAUUGGCUAGUGGACUUCACGCGUUGGUGGAUGAAUUAUGGAAUGCCAGGAAUUGGAGGGACCGGUCGUAAAUUUGCGGAAAAAAGAGGUGGAUUUUAUCGUUGUACCAUUUCGAUUAAAAAUGGCUUGUCUCGUCUCGACUUCCCUGUAGGAUCUGUAGUGGAAGGGGGAAGAAGAAUCAACUUUGCUUUCUCUCUCUACCCCUCUCCCUCCCUAGCUCUGGCAGUGUCUACCUAUUUAUCCAUCUAUUGUUCCACUUUUUGUUUUCUCUCUCUCUUCUCUUUCUCUCCUCUCUCUCCCUCCAGGAUUCUCCAUGGCUUGGCUUCUUGUUUCUCAGAAGUUCAAUACAAGUCUUCGAUAAUUUUGUUUGUUGAAUUACAGUGUGUUUUAUUGGAUUUGGAGGUUGUUUAUGUAGACCCUUUUUGCUUGUUGAUUGUUUGAAUUUUGGGUUUUGUUUGAUUGUAUUUGAUUACAGAUCUGGGAAUUGAGCAUGUUAUUUCGGACUCUAUUUUUGUUUUUUGAGAAAAUGUUCUGCUGUAUAUAUGUGAUAACGGAUAUGGGUUGUGCGGUCGGAGAGAGAAUGGAAUUUUCGCCCUUUUUCUUCAUGUAGUAUUUUAUUUUGGAAACUAGGGUUUCAGGAAAGAAAAAGUGAGAGGGGCUAAUGGCUUCUGGGUUUAGGUUUUCUUUGCUCCAGUUUUGUGCUUGGACCUUUUUUGGACUGUUUGAUCAUGUUUGCAUCUUUAUUUUGUGAUAGUGCCCUAAAAUACUAGCGAUUUUAGCAUGCCUUAUGGGUAUUGGAGCUUAAUAGGACCACUUUCUUUCGCGCAGAUUUGGUUUUCCUUGUGCCCCGGAUUGGAGUUCUAAGUGUUUUUUAAUGGAACUUGUUUUUUUUUUUUGGCUAACUUUUCUUUCAGUUCUUUUUUACCUGCCGAAUUAAGACUGUAAGUAUGCUGAUCUCAUUUAUUUAUUACUAUUUUUUAUGCUUUCACAUAUUGAUUAGCAAGGGAUAUAGAAAGUUUGAGCUAAUCAGCGUCUUUUUUUGUUUUUUUUUUUUUCUUUUGAGAGCUUGAUAACAAAAUGAUGAUUCUGGUGAGAUAGAAACGUCGGUCUAAUCUGUGUCUUUUUUUCUGUUGAGAACUUGUAAAGAAGUGAUCUAGAUGUAUAAUUCGUUGAGAUUCUGGUGAUAUAGAAACUUUGAUCUAAUCAGUAUCAGUGUCUUUUUUUCUUUUGAGAACUUGAUGGAGAAGUGAUCAAUAAAAAUAAUUCUUGGGGCUUCUGGUUAAAAUAUCUGAUAUCCUGCUUGUUUCAUAAUGAACGCUGAUUGGUUUUGAUUAACAUUAAUGAAUAUCUCAUUUUGUUUGCUUUCUCUAUCUAGUAAUAAUUUGAGAACAGGUUGUGUAAUCAUAUGCUUAUUUUUUCUCUUAUUGUAAUGUUAGUUGAAGCUUUGUAUGUUAUAUUUCAUGUGAUCACAUCACUGUGUACAAGAAAUCAUGAUCUACUGGGAUCAACUUGUGGUAAAUGCUGUUGAAUUUUUAGGUUUAGAGGUCUGAAAAUAUAUGCCAUUUGGUAGGAAUCUUAUGCUUGUUAACUUUGUGUGCCUUAUUGUGUGAUGCCCUUCUAGGUUACAUGUCAGGAAGCACAGCGUUGUAUGUGUGCUCUUAUUGCUCUUGAAAUAAAAAUUAUAGUCAUAAAAAUAAAUUCUCAGUGAUUCAUUUGUUGGAGUUCGUGAUCCUCUUCUACCCAAAAAAUAUUCUCAGUGAUUUAUUUGCUAGAGCCCGUGAUCCUCUUCUGCCCAAAACAGUUUCGAGGUUAACAAGGUAGAAGUAAUUACUGUCCCUUAAUAUGUGGGAGAUGGCUACCUUUUAUGAUCUCAGAAGUUAUAGAAUUUUUUUUUUUUUGCUCCUUUAACAAAAUUCCUUUUUUUACCUCAAAAUUAGCAAAACUUUUAGUGCUCAUCUCCUACUAGAAUUCCAUGAAUAUAGUGGAGCGUUAUUAAUUUUAUCACUCUUAGUUAUUUUCUUAAUCCGUGACUUCUCUUUAGCUGCAAGUCUUUCAAGAGCCUUGACUCAUAAUUCCUUGACGACGAGAGAGAGCACACCUGUCAUUGGUCAUGCAUUGGGCAUGGUUGUUUACAAGCGUGCUCCCUAUCGUUGUCAUAGAUUUACUUGUCAAGGCUUGCUCAUUUCCUCUUCAUUUGUGCAUUCCAUCUUACAUCCAUCAAGUGAUAUUUUACAUAUACUGUGAACUCAUCUUUGCCUUAAAAUGCUUUUGUCAAUGAGAAGUUGUUGUGUGAGGAAAAGGAUUGUAAUACAUAAAAAAUAAGUCAAAGAAAAAAAUUGGAACUUUGAGUUCCUUACACAUUCACAAAUUUGGUCUUUCUUUUCACAAUUUUUUAUUUUAUUUUUUUGUAAAUGAUGUGUUGUUUAUAGGCUAUCCUUGCUCUUGCCUAUGUUUUUGAUAGGCGUGAAAGACCUUCCACUGGAUGUGCAAUUUCAUGCCCAACAAUUUCAUUGGAGGAGAUGAGUUCUUCUUGUGGGCUAUUUGACAUGUAAGUCCCUUACAGGGCUGGAGGCAAGUUUGUUUUUGAAUGCGCGCUGAUGUUUAAAUGUCAGAAUGGCAUUUGAGUAUAAUGAAGCUGCCAUAUAUUCUCCCGGGCGGAACUGGGAUCACAACCGUGACGGAUGAGACGGCCAGAUUGGUUAAUGUAAGGUGGGUGAGGAGUCGAAAUGGCUUGUAAUGUGCUAAGCUUGUUGAUGAAUUUUGAGGAGAUAUUAUCAUAGUCCGGUGAUGGUGAUGUUGAAGGCCCUUCCUUCUUUUGAAGGAGGGAACCAGACGAUACACAUGAAUAAAUAAUCAUUUUGAUAUUAAAUUGGUUAGAUUUCAUAAGAUUAUUAUUCUUAUUUACACAAAAAAUCAGGCUGGCCCUUUUCUGUGGAAAAAGUAACUUGAAGCGGGCCUGUAAGUAAUUAAGGUUUAAUAUGCAUGUUGUGGUUAUGGUUCGUACAUUGAGGUCCGAUGGGCCAACAAAACAGUCAGGAAGGAAGGUCAAGUCUUAGAAUAUGGAGCUGGAAAUCACUCAUCAGGAAAUGUAAAAUGCGGUGAUUAGUUUAUUGGUUAUAAUUCAUAUAUAUUUGUUUAUUUA